UACGUAGGGGGCAAGCGUUGUCCGGAUUUACUGGGCGUAAAGAGCGUGUAGGCGGUUAGGUAGGUCCGUUGUGAAAACUCGAGGCUCAACCUCGAGACGCCGAUGGAAACCAUCUGACUAGAGUCCGGAAGAGGAGAGUGGAAUUCCUGGUGUAGCGGUGAAAUGCGCAGAUAUCAGGAAGAACACCCGUGGCUAAGGCGGCUCUCUAGUACGUGACUGACGCUGAGACGCGAAAGCGUGGGGAGCGAACAGG
rnacentral:rRNA from 1 species